UGGGGUGUAGCUCAACUGGCGGAGCGCCGGCCUCCAAAACCGGAUGAUGCGGGUUCGAGUCCCGUCACCCCUGC
rnacentral:tRNA from 1 species